UGAAUACGAAAUGCUACGGCAUUGAAGUGAUCUAUGCCAUGCUUCCAAGAAAAUCUCGUCAUAUCUUAAAUAAUGAAUGCCUGUACCUAAACCGACACAGGUAGGUAGGUAGAGUAUACCAAGGGGCGCGAGAUAACUCUCUCUAAGGAACUCGGCAAAAUAACCUCGUAACUUCGGAAGAAGAGGUACCCUUGAAAAAGGGUUGCAAUAACCAGACCCUGGCGACUGUUUACCAAAAACACAGGUCUCCGCUAAUUCGUAAGAUCAAGUAUGGAGGCUGACGCCUGCCCAGUGCCGGAAGGUUAAAGAAGUUGGUCAAUCUUUGGAUGAAGCUGGCGACUGAAGCCCCGGUGAACGGCGGCCGUAACGAUAACGGUCCUAAGGUAGCGAAGUUCCUUGUCGGGUAAGUUCCGGCCCGCACGAAAGGCGUAACGAUCAGGGUGCUGUCUCGGAGAGAGACUCGGCGAAAUAGACAUGUCUGUGAAGAUGCGGACUACCUGCACCUGGACAGAAAGACCCAACGAAGCUUUACUGUAUCUUGGAAUUGGGUUUGGGCCUUGUUUGCUCAGGAUAGGUGGGAGGCUAUGAAAAUAUUCUUGUGGGAAUGUUGGAGCCAACGGUGAGAUACCACUCUAGCAAGGCUAAAAUUCUAACUCUGAACCGUUAUCCGGUCAGAGAACAGUUUCAGGUGGGCAGUUUGACUGGGGCGGUCGCCUCCUAAAAGGUAACGGAGGCGCGCAAAGGUUCCCUCGGGCUGGUUGGACAUCAGUCGUAGAGUGUAAAGGCAUAAGGGAGCUUGACUGCGAGACCCACAAGUCGAGCAGAGACGAAAGUCGGCCUUAGUGAUCCGACGGUUCCACGUGGAAGGGCCGUCGCUCAACGGGUAAAAGUUACUCUAAGGAUAACAGGCUGAUCUCCCCCAAGAGUUCACAUCGACGGGGAGGUUUGGCACCUCGAUGUCGGCUCAUCGCAUCCUGGGGCGGUAGUACGUCCCAAGGGUUGGGCUGUUCGCCCAUGAAAGCGGUACGCGAGCUGGGUUCAGAACGUCGUGAGACAGUUCGGUCCAUAUCCGGUGCAGGCGUUAGAGCAUUGAAAGGAGUCCCCCUUAGUACGAGAGGACCGGGGGGAAUACACCGCUGGUGUACCAGUUAUCGUGCCAACGGUAAACGCUGGGUAGCCAUGUGUAGCGUGGAUAACUGCUGAAAGCAUCUAAGUAGGAAGCCCACCUUAAGAUGAGUGCUCUCACCGCUAUAAGCGGGUAAGGUCACGGUAAGAACAACCGUUAUAUAGGCAUUAAGUAUACAUGCAGUAAUGCAUUUAGCUGAGAUGUACUAACAGACCGAGGGC
rnacentral:rRNA from 1 species